UCAAGCUACUAAGGGCAUACGGUGGAUGCCUAGGCGCCAGGAGCCGAAGAAGGACGCGGUAAGCUGCGAAAAGCCACGGGGAACUGCAAGCGAGUAUUGAUCCGUGGAUAUCCGAAUGGGGAAACCCGGCCAUCGUAAUGGAUGGUCAUCCGCAAGGAAGGGAACCCGGGGAACUGAAACAUCUAAGUACCCGGAGGAAAAGAAAUCAAACGAGAUGCCCACAGUAGCGGCGAGCGAAGAGGGCAGAGCCCAAACCUGUAAGCUACGGCUUAUGGGGGUUGAGGACUGACGUAAUUAAGGCCAGGCUUAGCUGAACUACCUGGGAAGGUAGGCGAUAGAAGGUAAGAGCCCUGUAAGCGAAAGGCAGAGCCUUAAGGUCAGUAUCCAGAGUACCACGGAGCACGAGGAAUUCUGUGGGAAGCAGGGGGGACCACCCUCCAAGGCUAAAGACUAACUGGCGACCGAUAGCGCAUAGUACCGUGAGGGAAAGGUGAAAAGAACCCCGGGAGGGGAGUGAAAUAGUACCUGAAACCGUAUGUCUACAAGCAGUCGGAGCGAAAGCGACGGCGUGCCUAUUGAAGAAUGAACCAACGAGUUAUCUGCACUAGCGAGGUUAAGUGGAAGACACGGAGCCGUAGCGAAAGCGAGUCUGAAAAGGGCGGCGAGUUAGUGUAGGUAGACCCGAAACCGCAGUGAUCUACCCAUGUCCAGGUUGAAGCGCAGGUAAAAAUGCGUGGAGGACCGAACCGGUGAGCGUUGAAAAGCUUUCGGAUGAGAUGUGGGUAGGGGUGAAAUUCCAAUCGAACGCGGAGAUAGCUGGUUCUCCCCGAAAUAGCUUUAGGGCUAGCCUCAGGUAGUAAGUAUAGGCGGUAGAGCACUGAUCGGGCUAGGGGCCAUAAAGGUUACCGAACCCUGUCAAACUCCGAAUGGAUAUACUGCAGAGCCUGGGAGUCAGACUACGAGUGAUAAGAUCCGUGGUCAAAAGGGAAACAGCCCAGACCACCGGCUAAGGUCCCAAAUGCCGUACUAAGUGGAAAAGGAUGUGGGGAUUCAUAAACAACCAGGAUGUUGGCUCAGAAGCAGCCACCAUUUAAAGAGUGCGUAAUAGCUCACUGGUCGAGAGUCCCUGCGCCGAAAAUUUCCGGGGCUAAAGUACGGAACCGAAGCCGUGGCUGUGUACUUAGGUACACGGGGUAGGGGAGCGUUGCCACAGGGGUGAAGCUGGUCUGGAAGGACUGGUGGACUUGUGGGAAGUGAGAAUGUUGGUAUGAGUAGCGAAAAGAAAGGUGAGAAUCCUUUCCACCGAAAGCAUAAGGAUUCCUGAGCAACGAUCGUCGUCUCAGGGUAAGUCGGGACCUAAUCCGAGGCAAAGAGCGUAGGAGAUGGACAACAGGUUGAUAUUCCUGUACCGGCAGCAAUUGUUUGAGCGAAGGAGUGACACAGAAGGGCAGGCAGGCGCGAGACUGGAUUGUCGCGUGCAAGCGUGUAGGGUAGUGUACAGGCAAAUCCGUACACUGAGAGCCUGAGGCGUUACGCGGAGCGAGCAGAGAUGCGAGCGAAGCUGCUGAUCCCACACUGUCGAGAAAAGCUUCUAGUGAGAGAGCUGCCGCCCGUACCGUAAACCGACACAGGUAUGCGGGGAGAGAAUCCUAAGGUGCGCGGGAGAACCCUCGUUAAGGAACUCGGCAAAAUGUACCCGUAACUUCGGGAUAAGGGUAGCCGUCUUGGUGAAGGAGCAUGCCUCUGGAGCUGAAGGCGGUCGCAGAGAAGAGGCCCAAGCGACUGUUUACCACAAACACAGGUGCCUGCUAAAGCGAAAGCUGACGUAUAGGUGCUGACACCUGCCCAGUGCUGGAAGGUUAAGGAAGGAUGUCCGGGCAACCAAAGCAUUCGACCGAAGCCCCAGUGAACGGCGGCCGUAACUAUAACGGUCCUAAGGUAGCGAAAUUCCUUGUCGGGUAAGUUCCGACCCGCACGAAAGGUGUAACGAUUUGGGCACUGUCUCAACGAGGGACCCGGUGAAAUUGAAAUACCUGUGAAGAUGCAGGUUACCCGCGACUGGACAGAAAGACCCCAUGGAGCUUUACUGUAACCUGACAUUGGGUUUUGUUGUAUUACGUACAGGAUAGGUGGGAGGCUUGGAAGGCUGGACGCUAGUCUGGCUGGAGCCGGCGUUGGGAUACCACCCUUGAUACAACGGAAUUCUAACCGAGAGAGUAACGAAAUCCGGGACAGUGUCAGGCGGGCAGUUUGACUGGGGCGGUCGCCUCCGAAAGAGUAAC
rnacentral:rRNA from 1 species